GCCAUGAACAUGAUAAUCAAUAAAAUCAACAAACCACGGAUCGGAUCCAAAACAGAUGAAUGGAAGCCCUAACCAUCGAAUGGGCUAAAGAUCAAACAUCCGAAAUCAAUAGGCCAAACAAACCCAUGUUCCGCGGCAAGAGCAAGCAAGAACUGAUUAAAGACACAAAUGCAAGAAAUACAUAUAAGAAUUUGGGGAAACCAUGCACACAUGCUUUCAAGAUCAUCUUCAGCAGAGGACCAUUUUCCAAAACCCUUCGGACAUCCGCAGCCAUCAAGAUUUGAAACCAUGCUCACAUGCUUCUUCAUCACUUAAAGCUCUCUUUUCGUGAAUAUAAUUAUAUAACAAUUUCGGGAAGCAUUUACAUGGCCCCUUCUGGUAGUGGUGAUCAAGAGUCUACUCCCAUUUGACGUGCCUAGAAAUAAUUCAUGAAGAAUCCUCCAGGCUUCGAUUGUUGGCACAUCCACGGAUGACGGACCCCAAGCAAACCUCCAUACGAGAUCAUAACCCCAAACCCCCCGAACUUUGGUCUUCAUAGAUCGAAAAACGAAUUUCGGGAUUUGGGUGUGAAGAGAAGAGAAGAAGAGUCGACAUAGUACUUAGGUUAGGUCUAAGAGAGUGAGGGUAAAGUAAGUAACUGAUGUCUG
rnacentral:lncRNA from 1 species